AACGAACGCUGGCGGCAGGCCUAACACAUGCAAGUCGAACGAGAAGCACUUCUUCGGAGGUGUUUUCUAGUGGCGGACGGGUGCGUAACACGUGGGAAUCUACCUUAUAGUGGGGGAUAACUUCUGGAAACGGAAGCUAAUACCGCAUACGCCCUUCGGGGGAAAGAUUUAUUGCUAUAAGAUGAGCCCGCGGUGGAUUAGGUAGUUGGUGAGGUAAAAGCUCACCAAGCCGAUGAUCCAUAGCUGGUUUGAGAGGAUGACCAGCCACACUGGGACUGAGACACGGCCCAG
rnacentral:rRNA from 1 species